CCUACGGGAGGCAGCAGUGAGGAAUAUUGGUCAAUGGACGAGAGUCUGAACCAGCCAAGUAGCGUGAAGGAUGACUGCCCUAUGGGUUGUAAACUUCUUUUCUAUGGGAAUAAAACGUUCCACGUGUGGGAUUUUGUAUGUACCAUAUGAAUAAGGAUCGGCUAACUCCGUGCCAGCAGCCGCGGUAAUACGGAGGAUCCGAGCGUUAUCCGGAUUUAUUGGGUUUAAAGGGAGCGUAGGUGGAUUGUUAAGUCAGUUGUGAAAGUUUGCGGCUCAACCGUAAAAUUGCAGUUGAAACUGGCAGUCUUGAGUAUAGUAGAGGUGGGCGGAAUUCGUGGUGUAGCGGUGAAAUGCUUAGAGAUCACGAAGAACUCCGAUUGCGAAGGCAGUUCACUGGACUGCAACUGACACUGAGGCUCGAAAGUGUGGGUAUCAAACAGGAUUAGAUACCCUAGUAGUC
rnacentral:rRNA from 1 species